GACGAACGCUGGCGGCGUGCUUAACACAUGCAAGUCGAACGGAAAGGCCCUGCUUUUGUGGGGUGCUCGAGUGGCGAACGGGUGAGUAACACGUGAGUAACCUGCCCUUGACUUUGGGAUAACUUCAGGAAACUGGGGCUACUACCGUAUAGGAGCUCCUGCUGCAUGGUGGGGGUUGGAACGUUUCGGCGGUUGGGGAUGGACUCGCGGCUUAUCAGCUUGUUGGUGGGGUAGUGGCUUACCAAGGCUUUGACGGGUAGCCGGCCUGGGAGGGUGACCGGCCACAUUGGGACUGAGAUACGGACCAGACGGCUACGGGAGGCAGCAGGGGGGAAUAUUGCACAAUGGGCGGAAGCCUGAGGCAGCAACGUCGCGUGCGGGAUGACGGCCUGCGGGUUGUAAACCGCUUUCGCCUGUGACGAAGCGUGAGUGACGGUAAUGGGUAAAGAAGCACCGGCUAACUACGUG
rnacentral:rRNA from 1 species